rnacentral:misc_RNA from 1 species
AUUCCUUAAUGGCCAACCAACCUGAAAGCACUGAUGAAGAUUUUAACGAUUCAUUCAACAUGCCUGCCAUUUUUGACACUCUACAUGAUGAACUCGUGGGGCCAAGUGACCAAAAUUUGAUGAUGGCCAACUCUGGCUACAAUGUAGAAUAUCCAUCCAGGAUGCCGAUGUCUCCAAUGGCGAAUAGAGACGUACAACCCCAGAUAGACACUUGCGGAAUAGUUGCAGGUCCAGCCCAAAACCUGGGUGGGAUGCCAGGUACCAGUGCCAAUCUUACCACAGGAGCCACCGGAGCUCAACAACCCCGAUAUUAUGUUGAAGAAACACGUAAACUUAUCCAACAACAACUAGUGCUGUUGCUGCACGCCCACAAAUGUCAGAGGCGUCAGCACACCAAUGAAGAGGUGUGUUCUCUACCUCACUGCAGAACAAUGAAGAACGUGCUAAAUCACAUGACGACUUGCAAUGCUGGGAAGUCCUGCCAAGUCGCUCAUUGUGCAUCAUCUGGACAGAUAAUAACACAUUGGAAGAACUGCACUAGAAAUGACUGUCUUGUGUGUAUGCCAUUAAAGCAUGCUCAAAACACAGACAGGACUGGACAGAAUCCAGGCAAUUCAAGUGGGUUCACAAAUCCACCUGGUAUGGAUCAGCAGAUAGCAUCUAGCACAAACAGUGGUUUUAAGGAAUGGCAUCAAAGUGUGACGCAGGAACUAAGAACUCACCUUGUACAUAAAUUUAUUCAAGCAAUAUUUCCUAAUCCCGACCCUGCUGCGCAUGCCUAUGCUACGAAUGUGGAAGGACAAAUAUAUGAUACAGUAAACAGCCAGGUAAGCCUGACUUUCACAAGAUCUAGGACAGUUUUUACCGUUUUUUGAAAGACUCUUACUGUAUUUGUUUUUUAGGAGGAGUACUUUUAUACACUGGCUGUAAAUAUUUAUAACAUUCGUAUUCAACAUGGUACAGGAACAAACCAGGGGCAUAACAGAGACCAAGAGAUUAGCAACUUAGUAGAGAACCUGCUUAAAAGAUGAACUAAACGCUUGUGAUAUUCAGGGACUUUUCUAUCUAUUGGGAACGGCACCUGCAAUUGCAGUCCGAAUUGAAGAUUCGAGCAUGCGUCUAUUAGAAAUAUUCAUUCAAGAGAAUUGAUAUGGUGUAACGUAACUACUCUCUGAAAGAAUCAAGUACAAUUUUACAAACAGCACUGACAUGCAUUUGUACUUGUUUUUGAAGUUUUAAAUAAAAAUAA